AAAAUAAAAAGUUUAAAAAGCAAACAAAAAACCCCAAAUAGAGUUGUAUCAACGAGGUUUUGCUUGUGAUUUGAUUUUGUGGCCGUAAUUGUCCUGUUCUCUUUCAACACAAUAACCCUAACCCUCUCCCUGUUUCUUUCAGAAAGAGCGAGGGAGUAAUUCUAGCCUGUUUUUACAAGAACACAGUGGCUAUAGACAGUGCCAGUGUGAAGAUGACUCAGCAAACGUGGAGAACCAAAGAUUCUAGGGCAGCACCAAAACUGGGAAAGCAAUUACAGCAGAAGUUGCCUUCCCCAUGGUAGCUUAGCAACUUCGUGUCUCUCCAAGGCAGAGAGGAAAAUCAAGUCUAACAGGCCUUCCCGAAGGCUAGGUGUGAAAUACCAGAAGCCAUCUUUGUUUCUGGCGAUGUCACUAAAUAAGUAUUUGUUGAUAUAAAGUA
rnacentral:lncRNA from 1 species